rnacentral:misc_RNA from 1 species
UUUCCGUAGGUGAACCUGCGGAAGGAUCAUUAUUGGAUUUUGAAACUUCAGGCUGCUGCUGGCUCUCCUCGGAGGGCAUGUGCACGCUUGUUGUCCAUUAUUUCUCCCACUGUGCACAAAUUGUAGUCCUUUCAGUAGGCCUAUGUUGUUUUUCACAAUCUCUGAAUGUAAUAGAAUGGUUUUGAAUCUUGGGAAAUACAAUACAACUUUCAGCAACGGAUCUCUUGGCUCUC